UACGGAAGGCAGCAGUGGGGAAUAUUGCACAAUGGGCGCAAGCCUGAUGCAGCCAUGCCGCGUGUAUGAAGAAGGCCUUCGGGUUGUAAAGUACUUUCAGUCGUGAGGAAGGUGUUAAGGUUAAUAACCUUAGCAAUUGACGUUAGCGACAGAAGAAGCACCGGCUAACUCCGUGCCAGCAGCCGCGGUAAUACGGAGGGUGCGAGCGUUAAUCGGAAUUACUGGGCGUAAAGGGCACGCAGGCGGUUAAUUAAGUUGGAUGUGAAAUCCCCGGGCUUAACCUGGGAAUGGCAUUCAAGACUGGUUAGCUAGAGUCUUGUAGAGGGGGUAGAAUUCCAUGUGUAGCGGUGAAAUGCGUAGAGAUGUGGAGGAAUACCGGUGGCGAAGGCGGCCCCUGGGACAAGACUGACGCUCAUGUGCGAAAGCGUGGGGAGCGAAACAGGGAUUAGAU
rnacentral:rRNA from 1 species